rnacentral:tRNA from 1 species
GUCAACGUGGUAUAGUGAUUUGUGCAUUGGACUAGGACUCUGGAGACCAGGGUUCGAAUCCCAGCUCUGCCA